rnacentral:rRNA from 1 species
GAUGAACGCUGGCGGCGUGCUUAACACAUGCAAGUCGAACGGCACCCACCCUCGGGUGGAAGCGAGUGGCGAACGGCUGAGUAACACGUGGAGAACCCGCCCCCUCCUCCGGGAUAGCCUCGGGAAACCGUGGGUAAUACCGGAUACCCCGGGCGCCGCAUGGCGCCCGGGCUAAAGCCCCGACGGGAGGGGAUGGCUCCGCGGCCCAUCAGGUAGACGGCGGGGUGACGGCCCACCGUGCCGA